GGGGGGGGGGGGGGGUGACAUCACCUGAAAACAUCUUGUCGGGAAAACGAGGGAUUUUGUUGGCGAUUUUAACAUUGUCGUCUAAUCACAUUUGACCUGUCUCAACUCCCCCCCCCCGUCGACACAUAUUGUCUGCAAAAUUUUAAUUUUUGUCGGCAAAUACAAUACCACAAACCAUCCCCCCUGCUUAAGCCUCUUCGCGACGACCCUCUCCGCUGGAAUUCUGGACGCCCAUGCAGUGGGCUGCAGAAAUUUCAACACAAACAGUUAAA